CACGGAGUUAGCCGAUGCUUAUUCGCAGAGUACCGUCAUCAAAGUACACGUACUCCUUAUUCUUCCCCUGUAAAAGCAGUUUACAACCCAUAAGGCCGUCUUCCUGCACGCGGCAUGGCUGGAUCAGUCUUCCGACCAUUGUCCAAUAUUCCUCACUGCUGCCUCCCGUAGGAGUCUGGUCCGUAUCUCAGUACCAGUGUGGGGGAUAUCCCUCUCAGAACCCCUAUCUAUCGUCGCCUUGGGGAGCCGUUACCUCUCCAACUAGCUAAUAGAACGCAUACUCAUCUUUCACCGCCUCAGCUUUAAUAUAAAUGUGAUGCCACUCCUAUAUACCAUUGGGUAUUAAUCCAAAUUUCUUCGGGCUAUCCCUAUGUGAAAGGCAGAUUGUAUACGCGUUACGCACCCGUACGCCGGUCGAAGCCCCGAAAGCUCCUCCCUCGACUUGCAUGUGUUAGGCCUGCCGCUAGCGUUCAUCCUGAGCCAGGAUCAAACUCU
rnacentral:rRNA from 1 species